GAAAAGUCCUGACAAGAUUGUUAAGCCUAUAAGCAAUGCUAUUGUUAUUUUUGAAAACAAUGUCCUUUAUAAUCUAUGUGGGUCUGAAACUAAUUCUGCCCCUUGUACUGGUAGAUUGAAAGCUUUUUGUUGGAAACCCUUAUUAGAAGAUAUUUUGACAAAAUGUCCCAUCAAGGAUAGAAUCCCGGUGAUUACUAAUCAUGUAUGGGUAAAUUUGACUUCUGAGGUAGAAAUCAUGGAUAAUAAUUAUGACCAGAAUGAACAUUUAAAUGUCACUAUUUUGAGAUGGGCCUACUUUAAUACUCAAACUUCCAAUCUUUUUAUGCUACUGCCCUAUAUUAAUCAACCUAUUUUUGACUGCUCAGAUUCUCGUGUUAUUGAUAUUCAUCUUCCAUUUGGGGUAUACUAUUUAUGUGGUAGUUGGGCGGUAAAAAGACUUCCAUGUAAUUGGGUGGAAACUUGUUAUCUAGGUAAUAUUAUCCCAGCGUUAACCCUUCAUGAAAAUUUGCCUGCAGGAAGGGUGAGGAAUAAAAGAAAGGUUAUUAGUUCCAAAAAAAGAUAAAACCGAAAGAACUGUAAAAUCUGGUGAAGGAGAUACGCUAUUUGCAGGUUUUGUACCUAAAGGGGGGGUUAUUGAAUUAAUGUACAAAUUAAACUUGUUAGGAGAUAUACUAGAUGAAGCCUUUAAUAAUACAGGAGAUGCUAUUGAAAAAUUGUCUGCAGAACAGGAACAAGCUUCAGCUAUGAUUAUGCAAAAUAGGUUUGCCCUAGAUUAUUUGUUGGCCUCCAAAGGUGGUGUUUGUGCACUAAUAAAAACAAGAUGUCGUUUAAAGAUAGAUAAUGUUACUGGUCAGAUUCAUACAGAUGGAGAUAAAAUGCAUGAAGUACAAAUUAAACUUAGAGAAGUUCACGAUACUUCUUCGGGAGGUUUAAAUUGGGGUUUUGACUGGAGUUUUGGUUUAACUAAUUGGUUGGGAACAAUGGGAAAACGUAUUCUCAUUGGAGUUAUUUUAGUAGUAUUGAUGCUUGUGUUUAUUUAUGUUGCAGUGAAUGUCCUAAAGUGUUCAUGCCGAUUAAUCCUCAAGAGCUGUUCACCUUCAUCUCCCCCUGGCACAAUUUCGAAUGUUGAAAUGUCUCCUAUCCGGUCACAACUCAUACCGACUUGGAAUACAGACAUGCUUUCUCGUGAAGAUAUUGAUCGUGUGCGCAUCUAUUUGGAAAGUCCUGCAAGUGCUGUUUAAAAUCACUAGCUCACUGAAUGACCUUCGCUAAACAUGGAAGUGUUGCACGGAGCUUUUUGUGGUGAAAGUCCUAGCACCAAAGGGAGGACUGUGAACAUAUGAAACCUGCUACUGACAUGCUGUCAGCCAUUUUGCUGUUUAUUCAUCAUCUUAAAAUAUAAUCAAAGAAGAAAAUUUACUCUAA